rnacentral:rRNA from 1 species
UACGGGGGGAGCAAGCGUUGUUCGGAUUCAUUGGGCGUAAAGGGCGCGUAGGCGGCUUGGCAAGUCCGUCAUGAAAUGUACCGGUUCAACCGGGUGCACUGUGUCGGAAACUGCCUGGCUUGAGGCCGAGGGAGGAUGGUGGAAUUCCUGGUGUAGCGGUGAAAUGCGUAGAUAUCAGGAGGAACACCCGUGGCGAAGGCGGCCAUCUAUCUCGGAUCUGACGCUGAGGCGCGAAAGCUGGGGGAGCAAACGGGAUUAGAUACCCCGGUAGUCCCAGCCGUAAACGAUGGACACUAGGUGUGGGAGGUAUCGACCCCUUCCGUGCCGCAGCUAACGCAUUAAGUGUCCCGCCUGGGGAGUACGGCCGCAAGGUUGAA